rnacentral:rRNA from 1 species
UACGUGGAGGGGCAAGCGUUGUUCCGGAUUUUAUUUUGGCGUAAAGGCGCUACGCAGGUGGUUCGGUCGGCGUUCGUUGACGUGGAAAGAACCCCUCGGGCUCAACUGGGGGGUAGUUCGGUGCCGAUUUACGGGCGGACGUGGAAGGCCAGUAGGGGGAUGGACGGAAUUUCCGGGUGUAAGUUCGGUGGAAUGCGUGAGAAGAUCCGGAGGAACAUCCGAAGCG